rnacentral:rRNA from 1 species
AAUGAACGCUGGCGGCGUGCCUAAUACAUGCAAGUCGAGCGAACAGAUAAUGAGCUUUCUCCUCUGACGGUAGCGGCUGACGGGUGAGUAACACGUAGAUAACCUACCUCUAAUACUUGGUUAAUUUCGUGAAACCGGAUCUAAUACCGGAUAAUAUAUUGAACCGCAUGAUUCAAUAGUUCAAGACGGUUUUCCUGUCUCUUAUAGCUGGAUCCGCGCCGCAUUAUCUAGUUGGUAAGGUAACGGCUUACCAAGGCGACGAUGCGUAGCCGAUCUGAGAGGGUGAUCGGCCACACUGGAACUGAGACACGGUCCAGACUCCUACGGGAGGCAGCAGUAGGGAAUAUUCCGCAAUGGGCGAAAGCUUGACGGAGCAAUGCCGCGUGAGUGAUGAAGGUCUUCGGAUCGUAAAACUCUGUUAUUAGGGAAGAAAAAAUGUGUAAGAAAAUAUGGACGUUUUGACGGUACCUAAACAGAAAGCCACGGCUAACUUCGUG